UGGCUCAGUGGUUAAGAGCACUGAGUGCACUUCCAGAGGACCUGGGUUCAAUUCCCAG
rnacentral:tRNA from 1 species